CUGUACUCAAAAGGCGAUCGAUUUAGUCCCUGUACUCACAAGAUUGGGUCAAUUGAGUCCUCAUUGAGCCUUUAUUGAUUGGACUCAAUUGACCCAAUCUUGUGAGCACAGGGACUAAAUUGAUCGCUUUGUGAGUACAGGGA
rnacentral:pre_miRNA from 1 species